AUUGAACGCUGGCGGCAUGCCUUACACAUGCAAGUCGAACGGUAACAGGUCUUCGGAUGCUGACGAGUGGCGAACGGGUUAGUAAUACAUCGGAACGUGCCUAGUAGUGGGGGAUAACUACUCGAAAGAGUGGCUAAUACCGCAUGAGAUCUACGGAUGAAAGCAGGGGAUCGCAAGACCUUGUGCUACUAGAGCGGCCGAUGGCAGAUUAGGUAGUUGGUGGGAUAAAAGCUUACCAAGCCGACGAUCUGUAGCUGUUCUGAGAGGACGAUCAGCCACACUGGGACUGAGACACGGCCCAGACUCCUACGGGAGGCAGCAGUGGGGAAUUUUGGACAAUGGGCGAAAGCCUGAUCCAGCAAUGCCGCGUGCAGGAUGAAGGCCUUCGGGUUGUAAACUGCUUUUGUACGGAACGAAAAGCCCCGGGUUAAUACCCUGGGGUCAUGACGGUACCGUAAGAAUAAGCACCGGCUAACUACGUGCCAGCAGCCGCAGUAA
rnacentral:rRNA from 1 species